rnacentral:tRNA from 1 species
GCUAGGGUGGCAGAGCCUGGCAAAUGCAGAAAGCCUAAGCCUUUCACCGCGGAGGUUCAAGUCCUCCCCCUAGCU